GACGAACGCUGGCGGCGUGCCUAAUACAUGCAAGUAGAACGCUGAAGAGGGGAGCUUGCUCUUCUUGGAUGAGUUGCGAACGGGUGAGUAACGCGUAGGUAACCUGCCUUGUAGCGGGGGAUAACUAUUGGAAACGAUAGCUAAUACCGCAUAACAACGGAUGACACAUGUCAUUUAUUUGAAAGGGGCAAUUGCUCCACUACAAGAUGGACCUGCGUUGUAUUAGCUAGUAGGUGAGGUAACGGCUCACCUAGGCGACGAUACAUAGCCGACCUGAGAGGGUGAUCGGCCACACUGGGACUGAGACACGGCCCAGACUCCUACGGGAGGCAGCAGUAGGGAAUCUUCGGCAAUGGGGGCAACCCUGACCGAGCAACGCCGCGUGAGUGAAGAAGGUUUUCGGAUCGUAAAGCUCUGUUGUAAGUCAAGAACGAGUGUGAGAGUGGAAAGUUCACACUGUGACGGUAGCUUACCAGAAAGGGACGGCUAACUACGUG
rnacentral:rRNA from 1 species